rnacentral:rRNA from 1 species
GACGAACGCUGGCGGCGUGCUUAACACAUGCAAGUCGAGCGGUAAGGCCCUUUCGGGGGUACACGAGCGGCGAACGGGUGAGUAACACGUGGGUGACCUGCCCUCAGCUCUGGGAUAAGCCCGGGAAACUGGGUCUAAUACCGGAUAUGACUCCAUGACGCAUGUUGUGGGGCGGAAAGCCUUGUGCGGCUGAGGAUGGGCCCGCGGCCUAUCAGCUUGUUGGUGGGGUGAUGGCCUACCAAGGCGACGACGGGUAGCCGGCCUGAGAGGGCGACCGGCCACACUGGGACUGAGACACGGCCCAGACUCCUACGGGAGGCAGCAGUGGGGAAUCUUGCGCAAU